rnacentral:rRNA from 1 species
UACAGAGGUCUCAAGCGUUGUUCGGAUUCAUUGGGCGUAAAGGGUGCGUAGGCGGCGCGGUAAGUCGGGUGUGAAAUCUCGGAGCUUAACUCCGAAACUGCAUUCGAUACUGCCGUGCUUGAGGACUGGAGAGGAGACUGGAAUUUACGGUGUAGCGGUGAAAUGCGUAGAUAUCGUAAGGAAGACCAGUGGCGAAGGUGGGGUCUCUGGACAGUUCCUGACGUGAGGCACGAAGGUCAGGGGAGCAAACGGG